rnacentral:rRNA from 1 species
AAUUUUCUAGGGUAAAAUUAAUUUUUUUCUUGAACUUAUAUUAUUGUUGAAAAUAACAAUACUUUCUUUAAGACUAAAAGACCCUAGAAUCUUUUAUAAUUUGAUUUAAUUUUUUGGUUGGGGUAAUAUAAUUUUAAAAAUUAGUUUAUA